GCCACUGAUUGGUCAGAGAAUGUCGUCACUGGAUGAGUCAUGAGCUCGUCGUCCGAGAUGAGAAUCAAACCCGUCAUUUUUAAAGUCAUAGCGGUGUCACAGAAACCGGGUUUUUCUUUCGUUUCAUGGUGAGGUUUGUUAUUUUUUUUACUCGCACUGGCUGAGUUGCGGAUGUUUGUGUUUGGUGGCGGAGGAGAGAAUACAGAGAGGCAAGAGUAAAAGGAGCCUGUUCCAGCAGGAGAAUCUGUCCAUCCAGCGAUGUUGAGGUUGAAGCUGAACUGGGUUCAGUGUGAUCGACACAUCCGACUGAUCCUCGAAGAAGCAACGGAGGUGGAAGCUGCAUUAAAUCAGCCAAUCCUUGACGUGCUGAGCGAGCUUAUCCACGCAAUGCAUGACCGGGGCGUGUGUCCUGCACCCCCACCCCAGGAUUAUAGACAUAUGGAACUUUUGUAUAGUUUGUGUUGCACAGGUUUAUGUAUUUAUUUAUUGGGGUAUUUGCAUUUCUUUUAGUUGCAGUAAACAUUUUGACUUGUG